rnacentral:rRNA from 1 species
UACGUAGGGGGCAAGCGUUGUCCGGAAUCAUUGGGCGUAAAGCGCGUGUAGGCGGCCAGAAAAGUCCGCUGUGAAAGUCGGGGGCUCAACCCUCGGAUGCCGGUGGAUACUGUCGGGCUUGAGUACGGAAGAGGCGAGUGGAAUUCCUGGUGUAGCGGUGAAAUGCGCAGAUAUCAGGAGGAACACCAAUUGCGAAGGCAGCUCGCUGGGACGUUACUGACGCUGAGACGCGAAAGCGUGGGGAGCAAACAGG